GCAACACCUCCUAGGAAACUGUCUGAGAAGCCAUGAAGCAGAAGAAGCCAUGAUGUAAGCAGCCACAAUAAAGCUGGAGUUUGUAAAUUAACCUUGUGACAGAGUGAGAUCUUAAAAUGCAAAUGAACCAGACACAAAGCAUAAAACAUGGUGGCAGUGGUAAUUAAAUCUGAAACGGCAGGAGAGAACAUUCAGAGCUUCACUGCAGAGGGCAGAAUACUUCUGAGAUAGUCCAGUAUGAGGUUCAAGGGUGCAUGGUGUAAGGAUACACCUUUCUGACAGGACCACAUGGAGAAGCACUUCCAUUUAGCCAGGUACACUUGGGAAGUCCCCCAGAGCUGGAAGAUGGAUUUGGCAAUGUCUGGGAGUAAAGACCACUGGUGGUGCUCAGAGAAGGUCCUGGUCAGUUGAUCCACUAACUUGUUCUGCUUCCUCGGAAGGUACAAUGCUGCCAUGUGACCCAAGAGACUGAGACAGCUGCAUGCCAUGGUGAGAAGUUGCAGCACCAAGCCUUGUACUGUUUGGAAUCUGGAUUGCGAUAGCAAAGCCUUGGCCUUUGUGGAGUCUAAGAUUGCUCCAAUAAACUCUAUCCUCUGUACCGGUUUUAGAAUUGACUUGCUCCAAUUUACGAGAAGCUCCAGGACGUCGAAUGUGGACAGGAUGGAGGAUACAGUGGAUAACACCUGAGCCUCAGACCAAUCUCUCAUCAACCAGUAGUCCAAGGACAGGAACACAUGAACUUCUGAUUUUUAUAGAUGUGCUGCCACCACAUCCAGGCACUUUGUGCACACCCGCGGACCAGCUGAGAGACCGAAUGGGAGCACUGUGAACUGACAGUGGGAUUCAUCUGCCACAAAUCUGAGAAACUUCCGAAGGUUGUGUCGUAUUGCGACAUGGAAAUAAGCAUCCUUUAAAUUGAGGGCAAUGUACCAGUCCCCCUAUUCCAGGGAGGGAAUAAUCAAGGCUAGGGUAAUCAUGCGGAAUUUUAUUUUCUUCAGGAAUUUGUUCAACUCUCUUAGAUCUAAAAUAGGCCUGAGACCUCCUUUUGCUUUGGGGAUAAGGAGUUACUGAGAGUAGAAGCCUUUCCCCCAAGGCCCAGUGGGACUUCUUCUAUGGAUCCUGCCUGAAGAGGCAAUUGAACCUUUUGCUGAAGGACGAUCUCAUGAGAGUGGUGGAGAAGAGGGGUGGGAAGGAGGGGUAGAAAUGAACUGAAUGAAGGGCAUGUGACGUUGCACUCCGUGUUUUAUGAAAAUAUGCUUAUGAAUGUGAAUAUAAUGUAACUGGAAUAUGCUUUACGCAAAAGGUCUUUUGUAAGGUAUCAUUACAAAGCUUAUAAUUUACUGAAUGUGUUCAUCGUAUUUGUAUGCAUGUAUCAUCCUUGUUUCUGAAGCUAGAAAUAUGAAGUAUAACUCUGAGGUCCUAUUGUAACUAUACAAAGUGUGGGCCAUUAAUGGUGGUUUAGAAUUUUGAUAGCUCCCAUUGACUAGGACAAUUGGUUGUAGAUGGUUUAUUUACCUGCAAGCCUUUCUGUGUACGUGUGGGCCAGCCCGUGGGUAAUGAAGAAUGAGGUCUUACAGUGACAUGUGACCGUGUCACAUGAUACUGGAAUCCAUCUUAAAUCUGGUACUUUUCCAGUUAGAAGGAGGGGUGGGGACCCAGAGAGACAAAAGAUUCGCACCUUGUGCCAAAGCUAUAAAAGGGGGUGGAACAGAACAAAGGAGGUGGCCAGUCAUGAGAACACCCCUGCUUUCCACCUAAGAUGUCUGCUGGAACUAACAAGGACUCUACCAGGGGAAAGGAUCGGGCCCAGACUAGGAAGGAGUCUAGUUUGUGAAAGAAGCUUAUUGGAACAUCUCUGAGGGUGAGAUUUUACCUGUAAUCAGUUUCUUAAUGUAUUAGGCUUAGACUUGUGUGUUUCUGCUUUAUUUUGCGUGGUGACUUACUUUGUUCUGUCUAUUACUUGAAACCACUUAAAUCCUAGUUUUUAUACUUAAUAAAAUCACUUUUGUUCAUUAA